rnacentral:rRNA from 1 species
ACAACACCUUGCUACGCCACACCCACACGGGUACUCAGCAGUGAAUAACAUUAAGAAAUAAGCGAAAGCUUGACUUAGCUAUGAUUAAGUUUGGCCGGUAAAUUUCGUGCCAGCCACCGCGGUUAUACGAAAGGCCAAAAACAAUGACCCUCGGCGUAAAGCGUGACCAGAAUAAUGUCAAAAAAAUUGAAGGAAAACCAAGCCAAGAUUGUAAAAUAUAUUGGCACAAGAACUCCACCAAUAAAAUGCCUUCAAAUAAAAGACUAUUCAACCUCACUAAAGCUAGGAAACAAACUGGGAUUAGAUACCCUACUAUGCCUAGCCCUAAACAUAGAUGGUUAAACACACAAAACCAUUCGCCAGAGAACUACAAGCGAAAAGCUCGAAACUCAAAGGACUUGGCGGUGCUCCACAUCAUCCUAGAGGAGCCUGUCCUAUAAUCGAUACCCCACGCUUUACCCCACCAUUCUUUGCAACUCAGCCUAUAUACCGCCGUCGUCAGCUUACCCUGUGAAAGAAACAAAGUAGGCAAAAAAGUUUACAACUAACACGUCAGGUCAAGGUGUAGCAGAUAGAAUGGAAGAGAUGGGCUACAUUUUCUGCCACAGAAAAAUACGAAAGGUGUAAUGAAACACACACCCAAAGGAGGAUUUAGAA